AACGAACGCUGGCGGCAGGCCUAACACAUGCAAGUCGAACGCACCGCAAGGUGAGUGGCGCACGGGUGAGUAACACGUGGGAAUGUACCCUUUGGUUCGGAAUAACGUCUGGAAACGGACGCUAAUACCGGAUGAGCCCUGCGGGGGAAAGAUUUAUCGCCAAAGGAGCAGCCCGGGUCUGAUUAGCUAGUUGGGGGGGUAAAGGCCUACCGAGGCGACGAUCAGUAGCUGGUCUGAGAGGAUGAUCAGCCAGGCUGGGACUGAGACACGGCCCAGACUCCUACGGGAGGCAGCAGUGGGGAAUAUUGGACAAUGGGCGGAAGCCUGAUCCAGCCAUGCCGCGUGAGUGAUGAAGGCCUUCGGGUUGUAAAGCUCUUUCGCACGCGACGAUGAUGACGGUAGCGUGAGAAGAAGCCCCGGCUAACUUCGUGCCAGCCGCCGCCGUAAAAC
rnacentral:rRNA from 1 species